UUUUAAUAAAUUAUACAAAUUUAUUUGGUUUCUUCUCCUUCGCUUCUUCUGCGGAAUCCUCUCUCAGGCCUUAGCCAGUGAUCUAAAUUUCUCUAUCCAUAAUUUUUUUAUACUUUUUUAUCUUGUUUUGAACGAAUUUGCUUAUACAUUGUUGGUGAUCUAUUUCCUGUGAUCCUUUAUUUUCUCCUAUUAAACAUCAAUGCUCUGCCCUAGUUUUUGAAAGAUGGGCAUUAGUGAAAAUGGAUUGUGGUGCUAAAUUAAAUUGGGCUUCUGCUGGUGUUCUGGUGGGGGUCAUAUAGGCUGGUUCUUUUUAGAUGAUUCAAACUGAUUGCAGCUUGUAGAAGCUGCACAUAAGAAUGUUGAUAAAUUUUUGGCUGAUAUUCAAUCACUCUUACAAUGAAAAGUGGAUUCUGUUCAACAUCUUACUUUUCAAGCUACAGUUUAGCACUAAACAGCAUAUUCAAGCUAGUAAGCGACAUUGUGUCGAUAGAGUAGACACCUCUACGUGGAGGUUAUUAAAAGUUCAUUGACAAACUCUGUUGUCAUUUGAAACAAAUAAAAUGGAAAGGUAUAAAAUUUUGGAAGAACUUGGAGAUGGUACUUGUGGUAGUGUAUAUAAGGCUUUCAAUGUUGAAACUUAUGAAAUUGUUGCUGUCAAGAGAAUGAAGAGGAAGUUUUAUUUUUGGGAAGAAUGCAUGAAUUUACGAGAAGUUAAGGCCCUUCGUAAAAUGAAUCAUCCCAAUAUUAUAAAGUUGAAGGAGGUUGUUAGGGAAAACAACGAACUAUUCUUCAUUUUUGAAUACAUGGAGCAUAACCUUUACCAUCUAAUGCGAGAACGGCAAAGACCAUUUUCAGAAGGAGAAAUAAGGAGCUUUAUGUCUCAGUUGCUGGAAGGACUUUCUCAUAUGCAUAGAAAUGGCUAUUUUCAUCGGGAUUUAAAACCAGAGAAUUUGCUGGUAACAAAUGACUUUCUCAAGAUUGCUGACUUUGGGCUAGCUAGAGAACUGUCAUCAAUGCCUCCAUACACCGAAUAUGUUUCCACACGCUGGUAUCGAGCUCCUGAAGUUUUGUUUCAGUCCUCAUCGUACACUCCUGCAAUAGAUAUGUGGGCUGUUGGUGCAAUAUUGGCUGAACUUUUCACAUUUUCUCCUAUUUUCCCUGGUGAAAGUGAAACUGAUCAGUUGUACAAGAUAUGCUGUGUUCUUGGUGCUCCAGAUUGGACUGCUUUUCCUGAGGCAACCAAUAUCUCUCGAUUAAUCAGUAUCAGUUAUUCUGAGAUUUUGCCCAUUAACCUCGCUGAUAUCAUUCCUAAUGCUAGCUUGGAAGCUAUUGAUUUAAUCCAGCAACUUUGUUCAUGGGAUCCAUUAAGGAGGCCAACUGCAGAUCAAGCAUUGCAGCAUUCUUUUUUCAAUAUGGGUACAUGGGUUCCUUACCCCCUCCAUGAUCCACUUGAGCUCAGGCUAAAUAACAUGGGAGCUACACCAAAUCUUGAGCUGAAUCUGUGGGACUUCGGCUCAGAACCUGAUGACGGUUUCCUGGGCUUAACAUUGGCAGUAAAGCCCAGUGUUUCCAACUUGGAAAUGGUGCAUAACACAUCUCAAGGCAUGGGAAAGACUGAACUUCAUGAUGCAGGAUAUACUGUUUUGCUCUGGUCUUAAAGAUCAUUCAGAUCAGUCAGUUUUCUGGUCACUACUUUCACCCGGUGAAAAUGGAAUUCGUCCACCAGUUCAGUCUUCCUUGUCUCUGUCAUUCAGUUAAAUUGAACAAUUGGCUGUGUUUACAAAUGCAUGAUCACAGCCUGAUUGAUAUUAGAUUGUCAAUUGUUGGCUGUGUCUUCCCCAUUGCAACAAGAACGGUGCCUUUGACCGAGAUUAUUCACGUGAUGUAAUAUGAGAGACCUGUAGAAAAUAUUUUGUAAUUUAUUUUAUUUGUUAUUUGUAAAGGGUCAAUCGGAUUGUUUGCUGACUCCGCCGAGCAUUUGUUUAGGUAACCACAAAUCCUGGAAAAAGCUUCUAUAAAGAAAAUUUCAUUUUCCCCUC